CCUACGGGUGGCAGCAGUGAGGAAUAUUGGUCAAUGGGCGCGAGCCUGAACCAGCCAAGUCGCGUGAGGGAAGUCGGUCCUAUGGAUUGUAAACCUCUUUUGUCGGGGAGCAAAAGACGCCACGCGUGGCGUUCCGUGAGUACCCGAAGAAAAAGCAUCGGCUAACUCCGUGCCAGCAGCCGCGGUAAUACGGAGGAUGCGAGCGUUAUCCGGAUUUAUUGGGUUUAAAGGGUGUGCAGGCGGAGGUUCAAGUUAGCGGUAAAAUUGCGGGGCUCAACCCCGUACUGCGGUUGAAACUGCAUCCCUUGAGUGCGCGAGAGGUAUGCGGAAUGCGUGGUGUAGCGGUGAAAUGCAUAGAUAUCACGCAGAACUCCGAUUGCGAAGGCAGCAUACCGGCGCGCAACUGACGCUCAUGCACGAAAGCGUGGGUAUCGAACAGGAUUAGAUACCCUAGUAGUC
rnacentral:rRNA from 1 species